rnacentral:rRNA from 1 species
UACGUAGGGUGCGAGCGUUGUCCGGAAUUAUUGGGCGUAAAGGGCUCGUAGGCGGUUUGUCGCGUCGGGAGUGAAAACCUCGGGCUUAACUCGGGGCUUGCUUUCGAUACGGGCAGACUAGAGGUAUGCAGGGGAGAACGGAAUUCCUGGUGUAGCGGUGAAAUGACGCAGAUAUCAGGAGGAACACCGGUGGCGAAGGCGGUUCUCUGGGCAUGAUCUGACGCUGAGGAGCGAAAGUGUGGGGAGCGGACAGG